AACACUGUUAACCUGCGGUACCUGCGGAAGGAUCAUUACAGAGUUGCAAAACUCCCUAAACCAUUGUGAACGUUACCUAAACCGUUGCUUCGGCGGGCGGCCCGGGUCCUUCCCGGCGCCCAUCGGCCCUCGCGGGCGCCCGCCGGAGGUAAACCAAACUAUUGCAUUGUAUGGCCUCUCUGAGUCUUCUGCACUGAAUAAGUCAAAACUUUCAGCAAUGGAUCUCAGAUCGGAAGAGCA
rnacentral:misc_RNA from 1 species